ensembl:lncRNA
AGCUGAACAAGCCCAGCUCCCUCAGCCCUUCAUCAUAGUGAAAGAAGCUGUGAAAGAACUCGGAAGAAGACUCUAGGAGCAAUGUUAUCCCAGAUCAUGGUCAUCGCGGAGGCAAGCACUUACUGGGAGGGAGAAAUGAACAGAACAAUGUAUCUGACUCACGGUCUCUGAGAGCCCAGAUACCAAUGCAAACAGGAAUAUCCUCAGGGCAGUGUCACUGGGACAGAGCUCAUUAUGAGACCACAAAGCGGAAAGCAUCCUGCGUGGCUUUAACCAUGGGUAGGAGUAAAUGAAGUUGAACAGUGGUUGAACUCACCGAAGGGCUUUUAAAAAUCGAGAGAGGAGGGAAAAUGGACAACAAACAGAAGCGCGAGAAGCCCAGCUCCCUCAGCCUGUCUUCACAGCAGAGGUGCUGCAGCCCUCUGUGCAUCCUCGUGCCCUCCUCUGGACCCCCUCCAGCAGCUCCGCAUCCCUCCUGUCCUGGGGGCCCCAGGCCUGGGCACAGCACUGCAGGUGGGGCCUUCCAGGGGCAGAGCAGAGG